UACACUCCUGCGGGAGGCAGCAGUGGGGAAUUUUGGACAAUGGGCGAAAGCCUGAUCCAGCAAUGCCGCGUGAGUGAAGAAGGCCUUCGGGUUGUAAAGCUCUUUUGUCAGGGAAGAAACGGUGAAAGCUAAUAUCUUUUGCUAAUGACGGUACCUGAAGAAUAAGCACCGGCUAACUACGUGCCAGCAGCCGCGGUAAUACGUAGGGUGCAAGCGUUAAUCGGAAUUACUGGGCGUAAAGCGUGCGCAGGCGGUUUUGUAAGUCUGAUGUGAAAUCCCCGGGCUCAACCUGGGAAUUGCAUUGGAGACUGCAAGGCUAGAAUCUGGCAGAGGGGGGUAGAAUUCCACGUGUAGCAGUGAAAUGCGUAGAUAUGUGGAGGAACACCGAUGGCGAAGGCAGCCCCCUGGGUCAAGAUUGACGCUCAUGCACGAAAGCGUGGGGAGCAAACAGGAUUAGAAACCCGGGUAGUCCCAU
rnacentral:rRNA from 1 species